UAUCUUGAAUUUUUAAAAUUCGCCGUUAUACUGAGAGAAGUUUCUCUUUUUGAAACUAUGAUACGAAAAGCCGUAUGAAAUAGGUAUAUUGGACCCGGGGGCGGUACCCGGCGCCUCCACCAAAAAUCUUUUAAGGGGGCGAAACAGGUUUGACAGUAUAUAGUAAAGAUAUGAGGCUGUAUUCGGCAGGAUACCACCGUUAUCGGUUCAAAUAAAAUAAACGCAAAUGAUAAUUUUGCACCUGUUGCCGUAGCUGCUUAAUCAGGCAAAGCAACAAACUAAAAUUCUUUAGGCUUUGGUUAGCAUAAAGUGGGGAAGGAGCCGCCUAGCAACAGAACGGCUCAUUU
rnacentral:tmRNA from 1 species